AGGCGAGACUAGUCGACUCAUCCAGUUUAGCGGAAAAUGCACUGGCAACAACUAAAAAAAGACGACCAAAAAUAUAAUUCAACAGAGGAUGAUAACUGUGGUGAAACAAGCACUCAAAUAAUGGAACUAAGACCUGUGGGAGUGCUGGAGAAAUCAAGUGUAUAAGUCCUCUGUCGUCUCAGCCAUGGAAGAGAUCUUCAGACAUGAAGAGAUCGAGGAGUUAAACUAAAUCAAAGAGCUAAAAGAAGAUCUACAAUACUACUGCCAUUUCAGUAUGAAAACAGAGAGAGAGCUGAGGCAGUGGAAAGGUAAAGAAAUCUAGUUAUAACAGCAAUUAUUCUCAAUGCUUAACAUCAGCUCUCAACAGUUUGCUUGUGGACUCUUUGAUUCUCUCUGAUUGACUGGAAGGUGUGCAUUAAAACAGUGAAUGCAGAUAAUUACAAUCAGUUCAAUCGCUAUUUUAAAUCAAUGCGCUGCUUGUACUGUAGCACACACAUACAGUCAGAACGCUAGAUCUAAUGACCUGCAACCAAACAAACUCAAUCUCAUGUCGUU